AUGUCCAUGGUGGGUAGAAUCAGCCCACAUGGGCUUAAGACAAGGAUGUGUGGAAACAACCGGGCCAGGCUGGGGCCAACUGGGGCUACCCAGCCCGGGCCGACCCGGUACAGAUGGGAAUGGCCCAUUAAGGCCUGGAAGAGCCGGGAUUCGUUUCACUGUAACAAACAUGAGAGAGAAACAGUGACAUCUGUUCCAGUGUCAUCAGAUCACAGGAAAACACUGAUAUUCACUCUUUUGCCUUUUCUUCCUCAGGGGGGGAUGUUGCAAUAUGGUUCUUCUGGAUGCCGAGUGUCCCUUGGGAGUAGAUACAUACUCUCAGCCAUUGUUGGCUCCUGGGUGUGCUGUGCAUGUUUCCCUUUUGGAAGAACUGAUGCAACGAGUUCACUGCAGCAGAGAACGGUUUGGGUUUGGCUGCAAAGCUGAUGGUUCCUAGCAAUAACUGCACCCAGGGAGCUCCCACUUCCUAAUAAACUUGUUUUAAUUCAUUUCCUUCUCGCAGAGAGCUUGUUACCCGUGACUUCUUUAGGAAUUGGGCAGAAUUAGAUUUGACAUCCUGCUUGAGUGGAGUCACACGGACUGAUUAAUUGGUGACGGAUUUCUGGGAUGUCAGAAAGUUUUGGUCGGUGAUCGCUUACAGCUCGAAGGCGCCUGCUUCUGAUAAUAAUAAAGCAGUGUUUUCAUUCAGCUGCCUGGACAGAAACUCUUUGAUUUGAACUGUCGGCAGCUUGUUUUCAUCUUUUCUCCACCUGAUCCAUAUUUUAUCAGCACUGUUUCUCCAACAUUCUGGUUCAAUAAGUUUCCCCGUAACAAACCUGACUGGAGAACUCGUGUUUGAGCACAGAAGUCAUGACCGGUGAGAUGAUUUGCACGGUGUGAGCAGAUCGUAGCGGCUCAGACGGAAAGAUUAAAGCGCGCGUCUCAGUGUGAGCGUGAAAUAUUCAAGUGCAGCUUUCAGCAUCUCUCCUGUAAUUUCACUUUGAAAAGAUCAGCUUCAUCACUAACAGAGCUCCCCGUGUAAUUACACGUGUACUGAACUGGAGCUGGUAAGCUAACAACAUCUUAUUAUUGGUUAAACGCUGUUAUGAGACUAAUUAAUAAGUAAUUGUAUUGCCAACCCUGUGCGCGGUUGCAGAAAGUGUUCCUGUGGUGUUUUAGCUCGCUCGGUUCUGUCAGGAAGCUUGGUGUCAUCUUUAAAAGAGUUUUUCAGCGACAUCUUUUAGGUAAAUCUCGUUAAUGUUUUAGUUUUUUAAUUGUUUUAGAACUUCAUUCAGAUUUUUGUGAAUCAGAUGCUGAAGUUUAAACCAGAGAGAGGAAACGGGAGCUUCCAUCUGCUUCAGGACUGGUUUUAAAGGUGCGGUUCACUCGUUUAAUCCAUAGAUUUGGAGUGAUCUCGAGUCAGAAUUAACGCCUUGUAAUUCGUACUCAGGGGGGAAAAAGCUCAGAUGCUUUUGUUUCAGGAUGUAGACGUCAGCUGCAGCAGAAAGUAGCUUCAAACGGCAGGAUUUGGAGUCCUAUUUCCUGAUAUUUGGGCACCUUGCCUCCGAUUGGCUGACAGCAAUGCGACUCUACCACUAACUCUGUUUGCUCUGCAGCGUUGAUCUUCUGCCGUGUAGUGGAGUUGCUAAUGCUAACGGUUAGCUUCUACUAGCCGAGACGUUCUCUGCUGUUUCCUGGACGGUGAACCAACAACAUCCUUCCCCGUCGUGAGUCAAGAUGGGCGAGUCCAUGAAUGUUAAGUGGCAGCGUGACGUAGAUCUGUCAGGAUUUUCUAAUCAGAAGCUAAAGCAGGAGAUAGAUGUAGGAGACUAUUUUCAGCUGCAGCCUGCAUGAAAAACUCAGAGUGAUCCAUUAGAAUCAGAAAUAAUCAUUAAAAAGUUUUUUUUCAGCGUUCCACUGCUUUAACAUUAGAAUGUCAGUUUUCUGGCUCCGUCGUAUCGACACCAUCUUCCAUGACUCCUCGUCUCACAACCAGAUGAUGAUCUAAACUCGGUGGCAGAGGUGAGUGCACUUUGCAGCUGCUGCUCCUGGCUCAUGGAAUAACUUACCUCCAUAUCAGAUCUGCUCAGAGUUUGGAAAACUUUUAGGAGCUUGCUUUAGGCUCACGUCAUCCCUCAGACCAACUGCCUGAUACGUUUUAUGUAUUUACAUAGAUUUAUUUAACUUAAUUUUGUUGUUUAAAACAUUUUCUUUUUUUAUUAUUAUUCCCACUUUAGGUAUUUUUGCUGCAGGUCUCAUUUAUAAUCCCUAAGCAUAAGUAGGAUUUUCCCCUGCAAUAAAUGGAAAAGAUUAUACAAAUUCUACAAAUCUAAGUCAGCAAAUGCUCUAAUUUAUUUAUUAAAACAUAUUAAUGUUACUAAACUCACUCUUUCCUAAAUAAAUUCAUGCAUUUAGUCCUUUUCGCUCCAUGAACAUCUGUUUAUGCAACUUUAAGGUUCUUCUCAAUGCAUCAAUGUAGCAUUUCGAUUACUUGUUAUCACUGAGAGGACACACACACACACACACACACACACACACCUCCGGUUAUUCUGUCCGCUGCCUCGCUCUCGGCGGAGUUCGGGUAUAACAACAAAUUUCCAAAACUGACAUUUAAUCUAAGCCACCAAAUCACUGAGGAGAUCCCUCAUCCAUCCAUAAGCUGAAAUGUAUUUAUGAUUAUAUUCACUCACACAUACACACACACACACACACACACACACACACACACGCACACACACACACACACACACACACACACACACACACACACACACAGCAAUAUUACAGAUCGUUUCUCUCAGAGCUCAUGUGACCAACAUGGGAAUGUUUACUUAUUUGUGAUUUUAUUGGAGAAAACAGUAACCUUCAUUUUCAUUAUUGGUACCGCCUCAGGGUCUCAAGUGCUACAGUGUGUGUGUGUGUGUGUGUGUGUGUGUGUGUGUGUGUGUGUGUGUGUGUGUGUGUGUGUGUGUGUGUGUGUGUGU
rnacentral:lncRNA from 1 species